rnacentral:misc_RNA from 1 species
GAUGAAGAACGCAGCGAAAUGCGAUACUUGGUGUGAAUUGCAGAAUCCCGUGAACCAUCGAGUCUUUGAACGCAAGUUGCGCCCGAAGCCACUAGGCCGAGGGCACGCCUGCCUGGGCGUCACACGCCGUUGCCCCCCCAUCUACUCCUUCGGGAUUGCGGGGGGGCGGAUGAUGGCCUCCUGUGCGCCUAGCCGCGCGGUUGGCAUAAAUACCAAGUCCUCGGCGACGCACGCCACGACAAUCGGUGGUUGCGAAACCUCGGUUGCCCGUCGUGUGCGUUCGUCGCGCAUCGAGGGCUCGAAAAAAUGCUCGGCUCCGGCUGGGCUUUCAACGCGACCCCAGGUCAGGCGGGGUUACCCGCUGAACUUAAGCAUAUCAAUAAGCGGAGGA